UCCAAUGUGGUGUAGUGGCUAACAUUGCUGUCUUUCACACAGUAGCCCGGGGUUCGAUUCCCCGCAUUGGAA
rnacentral:tRNA from 1 species